rnacentral:lncRNA from 1 species
UAAUUUAAUCCCUUCAUUUUUCAGAGGUGGAAAUUGAAGCUCAGAGGAAGCUAAGUGAUUUUCCUGUAGUUACACAGGAACUACAGGAAAGAUUUUUUUAAAACUUUUAUUUAAUGAAUAUAAAUUCCAAAGUACUGCUUAUGGAUUACAAUAGCUUUCUGCCCCCCCAUAACUUCCUUCUACCCACAACCCUCCUCUCUCCCGCUCCCUCUCCCAUUCCAUUCACAUCAAGAUUCAUUUUCGAUUCUCUUUAUAUACAGAAGAUCAGUUUAGCAUAUAUUAAGUAAAGCUUUCAACAGUUUGCUCCCACACAGAAACACAAAGUGUAAAAUACUGUUUGAGUACUAGUUACAGCAUUAAAUCACAAUGUACAACACAUUUAAGACAGAGAUCCUACAUAAGGAGUAAGUGCACAGUGACUCCUGUUGUUGACUUAACAAACUGACACUCUUUAUCUAUGGCGUCAGUAAUCCCCCUAGGCUCUUGUCAGGAGUUGCCAAGGCUAUGGAGGCCUUUUGAGUUCGCCAGCUCUGAUCAUAUUUAGACAAGGUCACAGUCAAAGUGGAAGUUCUCUCCUCCCUUCAGAGAAAGGUACCUCUACAGGAAAGAUUUAAAACUCAGAGAAGAGCUGCUCUUUGUUGGUCACAUAGAAUAUUUAAUGUUAUCUGUUUACUCAGGUCUAUAGACCACAGUGUCUGGUUUUAUUAUCAUUAUUCAUUUGAAAGGUGGAAGACAAAAAGAAGGAGAAAGAGAGACACUGAGAGCUCCCGUCUGCUGGGCUGUACCUCAGAUGCCUGGGAAUGCUGUCCAGAUCUCCCACGUGGCUGGCAGGGACCAGUUACUGGGGCCAUCACUGCUGCCUCCCAGGAUCUGCAUUAGCAAGAAGCUUGGAUUCAGGAGCCAGAGCUGAAAAUCAACCUACAUAUUCUGAUAUGCAAAGACUGAGCUGUCCCUCCCAGAAUGCACAGAGACACACUGGAGCAAUCCUGAUAAAGAGAUACAGAAAUGGUAAAUAAAUUGAUGGAACUCAUUUAUGUCCUCUCAUGAAAGCCCUCAGAGCUGUGUUAGGAGAACUUUUGGUGUGAUUCUUCAAUUCUGUUCCCAGGUGACACACAAAACCAGCAGCUAAUGAGUCUCUUGAUGAACCUGACCUUUUGAAGAAGCCAAAUUUGCUGCAUUGAACUGUGCUGUGCUUAAGAACUGUUGUACUUGUGCUUAAAGAUGUUAACACAUCUUAGUUGAGACAAAAAAAUCAGAAAGUAUAUUGUUCCCAUGAGACAACCUGAUCCAAUAGAAAGAGGAUGAUGUAUUAGACAUGUGAGGUAAGCAGAAUAUGCUAAAUUCCUUAAGGUGCUCAUUAAUAUAUUCCAAAG